UACGUAGGGGGCUAGCGUUGUCCGGAAUCAUUGGGCGUAAAGAGCGUGUAGGCGGUCCGGUAAGUCCGCUGUGAAAGUCGGGGGCUCAACCCUCGAAUGCCGGUGGAUACUGUCGGGCUAGAGUGCGGAAGAGGCGAGUGGAAUUCCUGGUGUAGCGGUGAAAUGCGCAGAUAUCAGGAGGAACACCGGUGGCGAAGGCGGGUCUCUGGGCCGAUACUGACGCUGAGGAGCGAAAGCGUGGGGAGCGAACAGG
rnacentral:rRNA from 1 species